UUUAUAUAAUGUUUAGUGUGGAGUGAAUGCCUUGGAGGAAAAAUAUAGGCGUAAAUAAUUACGAGAGAGUUGGUCGAGAUAUACUGUGACACCAACCUCCCUAAUAUAGGAAACUAAAGCUGUAAAGCUUACUGUAUCUACAGUAAUAUGGGGAAGUGAAACAUCUCAGUACCCUGUUUGUUAAAUCAACCGAGAGGCCAUUAGUAGUGGUGAGCGAAAGUGGUAUUUGGCUAAAUAAAAAAUUUAAAAAUAAAAAAUUGUUUUUACCUUAGAAGGUUAUAGUCCUGUAGUUUUUAA
rnacentral:rRNA from 1 species